rnacentral:rRNA from 1 species
GGAUGCGAUCAUACCAGCACUAAAGCACCGGAUCCCUUCAGAACUCUGAAGUUAAGCGUGCUUGGGCGAGAGUAGUACUAGGAUGGGUGACCUCCUGGGAAGUCAUCGUGUUGCAUUCC